rnacentral:rRNA from 1 species
GACGAACGCUGGCGGCGUGCUUAACACAUGCAAGUCGAACGGAAAGGCCCUGCUUUUGUGGGGUGCUCGAGUGGCGAACGGGUGAGUAACACGUGAGUAACCUGCCCUUGACUUUGGGAUAACUUCAGGAAACUGGGGCUAAUACCGGAUAGGAGCUCCUGCUGCAUGGUGGGGGUUGGAAAGUUUCGGCGGUUGGGGAUGGACUCGCGGCUUAUCAGCUUGUUGGUGGGGUAGUGGCUUACCAAGGCUUUGACGGGUAGCCGGCCUGAGAGGGUGACCGGCCACAAUGGGACUGAGAUACGGCCCAGACUCCUACGGGAGGCAGCAGGGGGGAAUAUUGCACAAUGGGCGGGAGCCUGAUGCAGAAACGCCGCGGGCGGGAUGACGGCCUUCGGGUUGUAAACCGCUUUCGCCUGUGAAGAAGCGGGAGUGACGGUAAUGGGUAAAGAAGCACCGGCUAACUACGUG